CCAGACUUUAAGGCCCUCAAGUUUUUGGUUUUGCAUUUAUUGAAAUUGCUGAGUGGCUGAUCACCUUCCCAUUGUGCUGUUUUCCUUGUUUGGUUAAAACAACAGAAACUUGUUUGUUCCAAGGGUGCACUCAAUCCCACCAUUGGUGUCAUUGAUGAAGAUGUUAAAGAGCACCGGUCCAAGUAAUGACCCUUGUGGGACACCACUUGUCACCAAUCUCCGUCUGGACAUUGAGCCAUUGGCCACCACUCUCUGGUUACGAUCUCAUGACCAGUUUCUCAUCCAUCAAAGAGUUUACCCAUCAAAUCCAUAUAUUUCCAAUUAGGAGAGAAGGAUGUUGUGUGUGACCAUGUCAAAGACCCUACCGAAUCCAGGAGCUGGAGGCUUGCGUUCAUCUCCCCUUGAUACAGCUGACAGAAGUGCAGGGUUGCCAUGGGCUUCCUUGACAGUCAAUAAG
rnacentral:lncRNA from 1 species